rnacentral:tRNA from 1 species
GGGCGGUUAGCUCAGUUGGCUAGAGCAUCUGUCUUACACACAGAGGGUCGGGGGUUCGAGUCCCUCACCGCCCACCA